UUGCACGAGUUUAGACUCGUGGCGAAAAGCUCAGUAACACGUGGUCAAACUACCCUACGAAGACCCAUAACCUCGGGAAACUGAGGCUAAUAGGUCAUAGGAGAGUCACGCUGGAAUGCCGACUCUCCCAAACGCUCAGGCGUCGUAGGAUGUGGCUGCGGCCGAUUAGGUAGACGGUGGGGUAACGGCCCACCGUGCCGAUAAUCGGUACGGGUUGUGAGAGCAAGAGCCCGGAGACGGAAUCUGAGACAAGAUUCCGGGCCCUACGGGGCGCAGCAGGCGCGAAACCUUUACACUGCACGCAAGUGCGAUAAGGGGACCCCAAGUGCGAGGGCAUAUAGUCCUCGCUUUUUCCGACCGUAAGGUGGUCGGCGAAUAAGGGCUGGGCAAGACCGGUGCCAGCCGCCGCGGUAAUACCGGCAGCCCAAGUGAUGACCGAUAUUAUUGGGCCUAAAGCGUCCGUAGCCGGCCAUGAAGGUUCAUCGGGAAAUCCGCCAGCUUAACUGGCGGGCGUCCGGUGAAAACCACGUGGCUUGGGACCGGAAGGCUCGAGGGGUACGUCCGGGGUAGGAGUGAAAUCCCGUAAUCCUGGACGGACCACCGAUGGCGAAAGCACCUCGAGAAGACGGAUCCGACGGUGAGGGACGAAAGCUAGGGUCUCGAACCGGAUUAGAUACCCGGGUAGUCCUAGCUGUAAACGAUGCUCGCUAGGUGUGGCACAGGCUACGAGCCUGUGCUGUGCCGUAGGGAAGCCGAGAAGCGAGCCGCCUGGGAAGUACGUCCGCAAGGAUGAAACUUAAAGGAAUUGGCGGGGGAGCACUACAACCGGAGGAGCCUGCGGUUUAAUUGGACUCAACGCCGGACAUCUCACCAGCUCCGACUAUAGUAAUGACG
rnacentral:rRNA from 1 species